GUAGGUGGCAAGCGUUGUCCGGAAUUAUUGGGCGUAAAGCGCGCGCAGGUGGUUCUUUAAGUCUGAUGUGAAAGCCCCCCGGGCUCAACCGGGGAGGGUCAUUGGAAACUGGGGAACUUGAGUGCAGGAGAGGAAAGUGGAAUUCCACGUGUAGCGGUGAAAUGCGUAGAUAUGUGGAGGAACACCAGUGGCGAAGGCGACCUUCUGGCCUGUAACUGACACUGAGGCGCGAAAGCGUGGGGAGCAAACAGGAUUAGAUACCCUGGUAGUCCACGCCGUAAACGAUGAGUGCUAAGUGUUGGGGGGUUUCCGCCCCUCAGUGCUGCAGCUAACGCAUUAAGCACUCCGCCUGGGGAGUACGGUCGCAAAGACUG
rnacentral:rRNA from 1 species